AAGAAGCUUUCGUAAUUCAUUGGAACAUCAGUUCUUCCUGGACAAAAUGUUCAUCAUGGAAGUAUUUUGCCCUUUGGAGAUCAUUGGGAACAGCUUCUGGACCACAAAGGGGAUAAAAUCUGUAUCAAGGAAGGAGAAAGUAAGACUUGAGAGCUAUCUUUUUAGUUCAUGGUGCAGAACUGGACUGAGAACUCAGUUAAAUGAAGCAAGCAAGCAUUUCCCAAGUGAUGCCAACUCAAAAUGAAUUAUAUCAAGAAAGGAAAAGCAGCCUUCUCAUCUGGAAAGAACUGGAGACCUUGAACCUAGGCAGCACAUGCCUUGAACCUAGGAUCAGUAAACAACAGGGAUGGAAAAGACAGUAAGAAUUUGGUCAGAUCACCAUAUCUUUCCAUUGUGCCUUUAGAACAAAAGGAAAGAAAACAUUUCUUUGGCUCACAGAGAAACUAUAUUGAGUAAUGAAGUUCAGACUCUCACAGUGCUGGGCACAGAGCAGGUGUUCAGUAAAUAAAUAGUGUCCUUGUUUGCUGAGUAA